GUGCUUGCUUCGACAGCACAAACACUAAAAUUGGAACGAUACAGAGAAGAUUAGCAUGGCCCCUGUGCAAGGAUGACACACAAAUUCAUGAAGCGUUCCGUAUUUUU
ensembl:snRNA U6 U6 spliceosomal RNA